rnacentral:rRNA from 1 species
GAUGAACGCUGGCGGCGUGCCUAAUACAUGCAAGUCGAGCGAACAGACGAGGAGCUUGCUCCUCUGACGUUAGCGGCGGACGGGUGAGUAACACGUGGAUAACCUACCUAUAAGACUGGGAUAACUUCGGGAAACCGGAGCUAAUACCGGAUAAUAUAUUGAACCGCAUGGUUCAAUAGUGAAAGACGGUUUUGCUGUCACUUAUAGAUGGAUCCGCGCCGCAUUAGCUAGUUGGUAAGGUAACGGCUUACCAAGGCAACGAUGCGUAGCCGACCUGAGAGGGUGAUCGGCCACACUGGAACUGAGACACGGUCCAGACUCCUACGGGAGGCAGCAGUAGGGAAUCUUCCGCAAUGGGCGAAAGCCUGACGGAGCAACGCCGCGUGAAUGAUGAAGGUCUUCGGAUCGUAAAACUCUGUUAUUAGGGAAGAACAAAUGUGUAAGUAACUAUGCACGUCUUGACGGUACCAAAUCAGAAAGCCACGGCUAACUACGUG